AAUAGCGUGUUCGCGUUGGGCGAACAUAUCCGAUUUCCGGUCCGCCCCCUAUACGUCAUCAUUGAGUAAACUUUGACCCGGAACCUCACAGUCUUUCUGCUGGCUGUGAGGUUCCGGGUCAAAGUUUACUCAAUGAUGACGUAUAGGGGGCAGACCGGAAAUCAGAUAUGUUCGCCCAACGCGAACACGCUAUU